rnacentral:rRNA from 1 species
UACGUAGGGUGCGAACGUUAAUCGGAAUUACUGGGCGUAAAGCGCGCGUAGGCGGCUUUGCAAGUCGGGUGUGAAAUCCCCGGGCUCAACCUGGGAAUGGCAUUUGGGACUGCAAGGCUCGAGUUUGGCAGAGGAGACUGGAAUUCCUGGUGUAGCAGUGAAAUGCGUAGAUAUUAGGAGGAACACCGGUGGCGAAGGCGCCGCUCUGGGCCGAAACUGACGCUGAGGAGCGAAAGCAUGGGUAGCAAACAGG